AGACGUGCUGCCAGGAGGCCCAUUCGCACACUGGUGUCCGUGUCUUUCCCUUGUAGGAUCCCUGCCAUCACUGCACCUGCAAGACUGAAAGAUCGAGACAGACAGAGACAGAUCGUAAAGAGACGUUGACCGUUUCUUCAGAACGUACUGACAGUGCCGGGACAUGAAAGAAGCUCCAUUUGUGACAAGAUUUUUCUAGGUAGUACUUUCUCAGAAGAGUUUUCCAGGAAACAUAUUCUAUGUAUCAACAUUCAAUAGCCAUUUUAUCAGACCAACACUCCCAGUGCACCCAGUGUCACUACCACACAAUGCAAGUGCUCCAGCAGGGGGCGGGAAAGAGCUGCUGCACACCCCAAAACAUCCUCCAGAGAACUUGGCAUAAGAUAUAGAAGCAGCACGCAUUUCAUGGUAAGUUAU